CAAAUUAAGAAAUCCAAAAUUUCAUCCCCUUAUAGGGAUGUUCUGAGAGAUGUCUCAUUCUACUACAGAUGCUCAAAUGAAAACUUAAAUUUCUUCUGUGGAUUUAUAUGACUUAGAUGUGGAUCUAGUUAGAGCUACUUUACAAAAAGC
ensembl:ncRNA R10E11.11 ncRNA